GCUUCAGCUCGUAGUGACCUGCGGAGGAUCAUUAAAAAACGAUCACCGGUGUACCCAAGCGAUGUCGAUUACUCGACCUUGUGGGGCUGUCCUAAACUCACAGCAUUACCAGUCGCGCGGGAUACUGAUGCCCUAGCCCUCGAGCUAGGGGCCGAGUGAAUCCCACCCGUGUCUACAUACUCUUGUUGCUUUGGCGGGCCGUGGCCUCCACUGUGGGCUCCGCCUGCAUGUGCCCGCCAGAGGAUCAAACUCUGAAUUUUAGUGAUGUCUGAGUACUAUAUAAUAGUUAAAACUUUCAACAACGGAUCUCUUGGUUCUGGCAUCGAUGAAGAACGCAGCGAAAUGCGAUAAGUAAUGUGAAUUGCAGAAUUCAGUGAAUCAUCGAAUCUUUGAACGCACAUUGCGCCCUGUGGUAUUCCGCAGGGCAUGCCUGUUCGAGCGUCAUUACAACCACUCAAGCCUGGCUUGGUAUUGGGGUUUGCGGUUCCGCAGCCCCUAAAACUAGUGGCGGUGCCGGUGUGGCUCUACGCGUAGUAAUUCUUCUCGCGAUGGAGUUCCCCUGGAUACCUGCCAGAACCCCCCAAUUUUUACAGGUUGACCUCGGAUCAGGUAGGGAUACCCGCUGAACUUAAGCAUACAAGG
rnacentral:rRNA from 1 species